UACGAAGGGUGCAAGCGUUACUCGGAAUUACUGGGCGUAAAGCGUGCGUAGGUGGUUUGCUAAGUCUGAUGUGAAAGCCCUGGGCUCAACCUGGGAAUUGCAUUGGAUACUGGCAGACUUGAGGGAGGUAGAGGAGAGUGGAAUUCCCGGUGUAGUGGUGAUAUGCGUAGAUAUCGGGAGGAACACCAGUGGCGAAGGCGGCUCUCUGGGCCUUUCCUGACGCUGAGACGCGAAAGCGUGGGGAGCGAAUCGG
rnacentral:rRNA from 1 species